rnacentral:rRNA from 1 species
UUUAAAAAAAAAAAUUGCAUCGCAUUCCUGGGGCGCUUUAAAUUCUUAAUUGAAUUGAGGCGCACCAAUAGCGUACACAAUAAUACCCGAAAGAUGGUGAACUAUGCCUGGCCAGGACGAAGCUAGGGGAAACCCUGGUGGAGGUCCGAAGCGAUUCUGACGUGCAAAUCGAUCGCCGGAGCUGGGUAUAGGGGCGAAAGACCAAUCGAACCAUCUAGUAGCUGGUUCUCUCUGAAGUUUCCCUCAGGAUAGCUAACGCUUAUGAUACAAAGAAUCUCAUCCGGUAGAGCGAAUGAUUAGAGGUAUUGGGGUCGAAACGGCCUCAACCUAUUCUCAAACUCCAAAUAGAUGAGAACCCCGGCUUUCUUAAAAGUGAAGCCGUGGGAA